rnacentral:tRNA from 1 species
GUUAAGGUGGCAGAGCCCGGUAAAUGCAGAAGACCUAAGCCCUUCUCACAGAGGUUCAACUCCUCUCCCUAACU